GUUUAUCAAAAACAUGUCUUUUUGAAUUUAAUUUAAAGUCUAACCUGCCCACUGAAANNNUUUUAAUGGCCGCAGUAUUUUAACUGUGCAAAGGUAGCAUAAUCAUUAGUCUUUUAAUUGAAGGCUGGAAUGAAUGGUUGAACGAAAUAUUUACUGUUUCAUAAAAUUUUUUAUUGAAUUUUAUUUUUUAGUUAAAAAGCUAAAAUAAUUUUAAAAGACGAGAAGACCCUAUAAAUCUUUAUAUUUUAUUGGGGUGAUAUUAAAAUUUAAUAAACUUUUAAUUUNUAUUUUACAUAAAUUAAUGAUUAUUUGAUCCGUUAUUUACGAUUAAUAGAUUAAGUUACUUUAGGGAUAACAGCGUAAUUUUUUUAGAGAGUUCAUAUUGAUAAAAAAGAUUGCGACCUCGAUGU
rnacentral:rRNA from 1 species